ACGAACGCUGGCGGCGCGCCUAACACAUGCAAGUCGAACGGAGCUUAGAGAGCUUGCUUUUUAAGCUUAGUGGCGAACGGGUGAGUAACGCGUGAGUAACCUGCCCUAGAGUGGGGGACAACAGUUGGAAACGACUGCUAAUACCGCAUAAGCCCACGGUACCGCAUGGCACUGAGGGAAAAGGAUUUAUUCGCUUUAGGAUGGACUCGCGUCCAAUUAGCUAGUUGGUGAGGUAACGGCCCACCAAGGCGACGAUUGGUAGCCGGACUGAGAGGUUGAACGGCCACAUUGGGACUGAGACACGGCCCAGACUCCUACGGGAGGCAGCAGUGGGGGAUAUUGCACAAUGGGGGAAACCCUGAUGCAGCGACGCCGCGUGGAGGAAGAAGGUUUUCGGAUUGUAAACUCCUGUCGUUAGGGACGAUAAUGACGGUACCUAACAAGAAAGCACCGGCUAACUACGUGCCAGCAGCCGCGGUAAAACGUAGGGUGCAAGCGUUGUCCGGAAUUACUGGGUGUAAAGGGAGCGCAGGCGGGAAGACAAGUUGGAAGUGAAAACCAUGGGCUCAACCCAUGAAUUGCUUUCAAAACUGUUUUUCUUGAGUAGUGCAGAGGUAGAUGGAAUUCCCGGUGUAGCGGUGGAAUGCGUAGAUAUCGGGAGGAACACCAGUGGCGAAGGCGGUCUACUGGGCACCAACUGACGCUGAGGCUCGAAAGCAUGGGUAGCAAACAGGAUUAGAUACCCUGGUAGUCCAUGCCGUAAACGAUGAUUACUAGGUGUUGGGGGAUUGACCCCCUCAGUGCCGCAGUUAACACAAUAAGUAAUCCACCUGGGGAGUACGACCGCAAGGUUGAAACUCAAAGGAAUUGACGGGGGCCCGCACAAGCAGUGGAGUAUGUGGUUUAAUUCGAAGCAACGCGAAGAACCUUACCAGGGCUUGACAUAUAGAUGAAUAACUAAGAGAUUAGUUAGUCCUUCGGGACAUCUAUACAGGUGGUGCAUGGUUGUCGUCAGCUCGUGUCGUGAGAUGUUGGGUUAAGUCCCGCAACGAGCGCAACCCUUACUGUUAGUUGCUACGCAAGAGCACUCUAGCAGGACUGCCGUUGACAAAACGGAGGAAGGUGGGGAUGACGUCAAAUCAUCAUGCCCUUUAUGACCUGGGCUACACACGUACUACAAUGGCGUUAAACAAAGAGAAGCAAGACCGCGAGGUGGAGCAAAACUCAAAAACAACGUCUCAGUUCAGAUUGCAGGCUGCAACUCGCCUGCAUGAAGUCGGAAUUGCUAGUAAUCGCGGAUCAGCAUGCCGCGGUGAAUACGUUCCCGGGCCUUGUACACACCGCCCGUCACACCAUGGGAGUUGGUAACGCCCGAAGUCAGUGACCCAACCGUAAGGAGGGAGCUGCCGAAGGUGGGACCGAUAACUGGGGUG
rnacentral:rRNA from 1 species